GUGCUCACUUUGGCAGCACAUAUACUAAAACUAAGACAAUACAAAGAAGCUUAGCAUGGCCCCUAUGCAAGGCUGACAUACAAAUUUGGGAGAAUUCCAUAUUUUU
ensembl:snRNA U6 U6 spliceosomal RNA